GCGAACGGGGAGGAGCCCAGAGCCUGAAUCAGUGUGUGUGUUAGUGGAAGCGUCUGGAAAGGCGCGCGAUACAGGGUGACAGCCCCGUACACAAAAAUGCACAUACUGUGAGCUCGAUGAGUAGGGCGGGACACGUGGUAUCCUGUCUGAAUAUGGGGGGACCAUCCUCCAAGGCUAAAUACUCCUGACUGACCGAUAGUGAACCAGUACCGUGAGGGAAAGGCGAAAAGAACCCCGGCGAGGGGAGUGAAAAAGAACCUGAAACCGUGUACGUACAAGCAGUGGGAGCACGCUUCGGCGUGUGACUGCGUACCUUUUGUAUAAUGGGUCAGCGACUUAUAUUCUGUAGCAAGGUUAACCGAAUAGGGGAGCCGAAGGGAAACCGAGUCUUAACUGGGCGUUAAGUUGCAGGGUAUAGACCCGAAACCCGGUGAUCUAGCCAUGGGCAGGUUGAAGGUUGGGUAACACUAACUGGAGGACCGAACCGACUAAUGUUGAAAAAUUAGCGGAUGACUUGUGGCUGGGGGUGAAAGGCCAAUCAAACCGGGAGAUAGCUGGUUCUCCCCGAAAGCUAUUUAGGUAGCGCCUCGUGAAUUCAUCUCCGGGGGUAGAGCACUGUUUCGGCAAGGGGGUCAUCCCGACUUACCAACCCGAUGCAAACUGCGAAUACCGGAGAAUGUUAUCACGGGAGACACACGGCGGGUGCUAACGUCCGUCGUGAAGAGGGAAACAACCCAGACCGCCAGCUAAGGUCCCAAAGUCAUGGUUAAGUGGGAAACGAUGUGGGAAGGCCCAGACAGCCAGGAUGUUGGCUUAGAAGCAGCCAUCAUUUAAAGAAAGCGUAAUAGCUCACUGGUCGAGUCGGCCUGCGCGGAAGAUGUAACGGGGCUAAACCAUGCACCGAAGCUGCGGCAGCGACGCUUAUGCGUUGUUGGGUAGGGGAGCGUUCUGUAAGCCUGUGAAGGUGUACUGUGAGGUAUGCUGGAGGUAUCAGAAGUGCGAAUGCUGACAUAAGUAACGAUAAAGCGGGUGAAAAGCCCGCUCGCCGGAAGACCAAGGGUUCCUGUCCAACGUUAAUCGGGGCAGGGUGAGUCGACCCCUAAGGCGAGGCCGAAAGGCGUAGUCGAUGGGAAACAGGUUAAUAUUCCUGUACUUGGUGUUACUGCGAAGGGGGGACGGAGAAGGCUAUGUUGGCCGGGCGACGGUUGUCCCGGUUUAAGCGUGUAGGCUGGUUUUCCAGGCAAAUCCGGAAAAUCAAGGCUGAGGCGUGAUGACGAGGCACUACGGUGCUGAAGCAACAAAUGCCCUGCUUCCAGGAAAAGCCUCUAAGCAUCAGGUAACAUCAAAUCGUACCCCAAACCGACACAGGUGGUCAGGUAGAGAAUACCAAGGCGCUUGAGAGAACUCGGGUGAAGGAACUAGGCAAAAUGGUGCCGUAACUUCGGGAGAAGGCACGCUGAUAUGUAGGUGAAGCGACUUGCUCGUGGAGC
rnacentral:rRNA from 1 species